rnacentral:rRNA from 1 species
AAUAGAUACCCGGGUAGUCCACGCCGUAAACGAUGAGUGCUAGGUGUUGGUGGGGACACCCAUCAGUGCCGCAGCUAACGCAUUAAGCACUCCGCCUGGGGAGUACGGUCGCAAGACUGAAACUCAAAGGAAUUGACGGGGACCCGCACAAGCAGCGGAGCAUGUGGUUUAAUUCGACGCAACGCGAAGAACCUUACCAGGGCUUGACAUCCCUCUGACCGGAUUAGAGAUAGUCCUUUCUCUUCGGAGACAGAGGAGACAGGUGGUGCAUGGUUGUCGUCAGCUCGUGUCGUGAGAUGUUGGGUUAAGUCCCGCAACGAGCGCAACCCUUGCCUUUAGUUGCCAUCAGGUAAAGCUGGGCACUCUAGAGGGACUGCCGGUGACAAACCGGAGGAAGGUGGGGAUGACGUCAAAUCAUCAUGCCCCUUAUGUCCUGGGCUACACACGUGCUACAAUGGUCGGUACAACGGGAAGCGAGACUGCGAAGUUUAGCCAAUCCCAAUAAGCCGAUCCCAGUUCGGAUUGU